rnacentral:tRNA from 1 species
GAAGGUAUAGCUCAGUGGUAGAGUGCAUGCCAUGCCUAGCAUGCAUAAGGUCUUGGGUUCAAUCCCUAGCACCACCA